rnacentral:lncRNA from 1 species
CACCAAAAAUUUGAUGUCUCUAACUCUCCACACCAAGGAUGUAUCUUGUGAAGAUAAUAUGGAUAACUUAGGGAAGAAGAGAUUGCUAGAUGUCCCUCCCCUAAGUGGCCGGCCUCUUUAGAGAAAAAUGAGAGAAAGUGUUUCACCCAAUUUCUUUAAGAAAACCCUAAUGAGAAAUAAAGCUAUAAAGUUCCUUUUCAUUUCAAGUGAGUGGCAAACUUGUAAUUAAUCCAAGCUUGCCCAUUCACCCUAAUGGCCGGCCAUAUUAAUGUUAUUGGGCUAAUUGCCCAUUUUGUUUUAGUUGUCAUACAACUUAAACAUAAUGGGCCUUGUGGACCAAAACGCUUUUGAGACCCGAAGCCCAAAACAAACUUAAAAGCCCAAUACGAACCUUUCGUAAAAUUAAUUAAUCUUGACCAUUCAUCAAUUAAAACAUUUAAUUGCUUAUCCAUUUCAUUUAAUUUCCUCACAUACAUCCUUACUCGGUGUACGAUCCAUUAGGUUCCAAUUAGCGAGGUAGUG